rnacentral:tRNA from 1 species
AAGAUACUAGUAUAGUAGUAAUACACUGCCUUGUCAAGGCAAAGUCGUGGGUUAAACCCCCACGUAUCUUG